rnacentral:rRNA from 1 species
UACGCGAAGAACCUUACCCACCUUUGACAUGUACGGAACUCGCCAGAGAUGGCUUGGUGCUCGAAAGAGAACCGUAACACAGGUGCUGCAUGGCUGUCGUCAGCUCGUGUCGUGAGAUGUUGGGUUAAGUCCCGCAACGAGCGCAACCCUUGUCAUUAGUUGCUACAUUCAGUUGGGCACUCUAAUGAGACUGCCGGUGACAAACCGGAGGAAGGUGGGGAUGACGUCAAGUCCUCAUGGCCCUUAUAGGUGGGGCUACACACGUCAUACAAUGGCUGGUACAAAGGGUUGCCAACCCGCGAGGGGGAGCUAAUCCCAUAAAACCAGUCGUAGUCCGGAUCGCAGUCUGCAACUCGACUGCGUGAAGUCGGAAUCGCUAGUAAUCGUGGAUCAGAAUGUCACGGUGAAUACGUUCCCGGGCCUUGUACACACC